rnacentral:rRNA from 1 species
UACGUAGGGUGCAAGCGUUAAUCGGAAUUACUGGGCGUAAAGCGUGCGCAGGCGGUUAUGUAAGACAGGGGUGAAAUCCCCGGGCUUAACCUGGGAACUGCAUUUGUGACUGCAUCGCUGGAGUGCGGCAGAGGGGGAUGGAAUUCCGCGUGUAGCAGUGAAAUGCGUAGAUAUCGUUUGGAACGCCAAUGGUGAAAACAGGUAGCUGGGAGUGUGCCGACGCUGAGACACGAAAGCCAGGGGAGCGAACGGG